AACGAACGCUGGCGGCAUGCCUAACACAUGCAAGUCGAACGAGACCUUCGGGUCUCGUGGCGCACGGGUGCGUAACGCGUGGGAACCUGCCCUUAGGUUCGGAAUAACUCCCCGAAAGGGGUGCUAAUACCGGAUAAUGUCUUCGGACCAAAGAUUUAUCGCCUUUGGAUGGGCCCGCGUUGGAUUAGCUAGUUGGUAGGGUAAAAGCCUACCAAGGCGACGAUCCAUAGCUGGUCUGCGAGGAUGAUCAGCCACACUGGGACUGAGACACGGCCCAGAAUCCUACGGGAGGCAGCAGUGGGGAAUAUUGGACAAGGGGCGAAAGCCUGAUCCAGCAAUGCCGCGUGAGUGAUCAAGGCCUUAGGGUUGUAAAGCUCUUUUACACGGGAUGAUAAUGACAGUACCGGGAGAAUAAGCUCCGGCUAACUCCGUG
rnacentral:rRNA from 1 species